CUCUCUCGGUUUCUGGCUCAUGUUAGAUCCUGUCUGCUUCAGCAACGUCUGAAACCCCACCUCCUCCUGUCUCUCUCUCUCUCUCCCUCUCACCACUUCGUCUCAGGCGGCGUGGAAUCCUGACUGUGUUUAAUUGCUGAGUGGUAAGAUCUGAGGGAAAGAUCGGGAGCCGCUGCGUCUGUCAACGCUUUACGGGCCCCAACCCCGGGAGAGAGAGACAGGGAAGGUGUAGGAAGGAAGUGUUUGGAGUUUGGGAACGGGUGAGUUGGGGAAUUCUUACGCAGUGGGGAGGUGAAGAAAGAGGUGAAACGCUGAAGUAAGACUUCAGAGUUGGAGGAAAAAAAGAGGGAGGGAAAGAAAAGAGGCCCACCGUUGGAGAAAGGGCAACAAGAGGGAAAAGUGGGAAAACAAAAGUAAGUUAGAAAAAGGAGGAAGGAAGGAAGGGGGAGGUGAGCGAAAAGUUAGAGAGGGAGAGAGAGAAAGAGAGUCAAACGCAGUGAACGAGAGGAGACGCAGAUGAGAAAAACAGACGCUGUGGAUGGCCUGGGUGGAGAGAGAACCAGUUGUUUUCUAAGUCGCCUUUCAGACUGGAAUGCACUCAGAGAAUUUGAGAUUCCCGACGCCUUAUUGCCAACUUUGCUUGCGACGCGCGCCGGGACCCGCCGACGGAUCAUGCCUGCAUAUGGAGUCCAGCAUAGCCCCGUUCCCGAAGGAGUUGGGGUUGGAGCGUGCAGAGAGGACUGCAGCAUCCCCAGCGUGGCAGGUUUACACCGAGGAGAUCCGGCAUCCGUUCUACAGGUGGGACUCGCCGUGCGUUCGAGAGAUCUGGCAGGAGUGCGGAUGUGUCCAGCGGUGGUAUUACCCAGAGAUGUUGCAUCCCUUCAACGGCGACCAUGUUUUGAAGGUCAGACGUCACCGGUGCCACCCAUCCUACAUCCAGGAGUGGGACAACGUUCAUCAGUCUGAAUACAAUGGACACUGCGAGAGGAGACGAGUGUCGUUCCGGCAUCACGAGGAACGACCUGAGACUGGCGGACAAUUACACUGUAACGGGCCGAACUCUGGACAGGCGACUUUUUUCCCAACCGAGGUGCCCUCCAGCAAGUUGGGAUGCUCCAGGGCACUCGGGAAUGGGCUGCAGGUGAACGGACCACAGCGGGAAGUAAGGACGCCUCGGGGGGAAGAGGGUCUGGAGAAACAUGGCAAGCAGAGGAAGAGCCAGGGAACAGUACGGGAACAGAUCAAACAUGUGGUCACGGAGCUCGAGGAAGUGCUGGGUGGUCUCAAACAGGUCCAGUUGGAGAUGAAAGAGGUUGUCCAAAAGAUCGACAUUCUAACGUCCAAUAUUGACCUUGGAGAAGACGAACCAAGUCUAUCCAAUGGACUGUUCCAAGAUGCCACCAAAAGCAGUCAGUCUAGUGUUGUUGCAUUGAUCCACAAUUCAAACGGCGAAGAGGACAUGUCAACUUCCAAUUCCUCUCUCGAACACAGCCCUGUCACUGUGGAUUUAAUUCACAUUAACGGUCCUUUGCCGAUGAGAAACCGCACAAGCCCAUCACCUCCUGAGCAACGAUCCGUUACUGUUCAGGAUACAGGCAAACGAGUUGUGAAACAGAGCUCAGAGACUCAAAGGACAGCAAAUGGAAACUGCCUACUGCAUCAAACGGCAAGGAAAGCCCAAUUGGAAAACCACAGACCCCCUGUAGCUCCAGUAGUGUGCACUAACUCCAAUAAAACCCACCGGCCUCCACCUUACCCUCAGAACGGACAGGUGAAGAUGAGGACCCCUCCCUAUCCUGGAAAACAUAAGAUGCUCUCCUCCACCAUAGUGUAAGGACACAAAACUAACUCGCUUUCACAGAAACCCAAUCAUCAGCAAAGAGGAAAACACACGCAAAAACAUCACGCAUACUCACAGAUACAUUGCACACAUGCUUAAUCGAUUACCAAGUAAUUCGUCCAAAUGUUUCUUGGUGACAAAACUCGGGGGACUGAUGCCACACAACCCAGCUGACUCACACCGGAGGACGGAGAAUCCCGGGCCGAGGGGCAGUGACUAUAUUUCCCAUGGAAAACUCCAGAAACAUCUCAAAGCCCUCUUUCUCUCUCACACCCCUGCUGAAAAAAAAAGCUAGUUUGGACCAGCUUAAAGUCACCAUGAAAUGGCAUUCGCAGCUCAGAUUUACUUACUUCAUGUGGUUGGAGGGGCUGGGUCAAAAAGCAAGAGGGAUUUGUGAUGUCAGCUGAAAAGGAAAGUCGUUUCAGAGGCGGAGCAAGUUGUUACAUUUUGUUGAAAGAUUAUGAAAACAAGCAUUUUUAAAAAUAAGAAUAAUGUGCAUCAAGGAAUUUUAAACAAACAGGAAAGUAAAUGGGUCAGUUUUAACUUCAUGUUGUUUUAAAGACACCAUGGAAUCCGUUCUUUUAUUUUUUGCAAAUAUAUGCAUUUAAAAUGCAUGGCGUUUCCCUCUAGGCAAUCAGUCCAAAAAUAUGGACUAUGCAUAGACUAGACCAGUGGUUCUCAAUUCUGGGCAAUAGCAACUGCAUGGCAACAAUCUAAAAAGCCAGACACAACAUAACACUUUAGUAACUGUAUAACAACACCUUAGCAACUGCAUAGCAACAAUCUAAAAAGCCACUCACAACAUAACACUUUAGUAACUGUAUAACAACACCUUAGCAACUGCAUAGCAACAAUCUAAAAAGCCACUCACAACAUAACACUUUAGUAACUGUAUAACAACACCUCAGCAACUGCAUAGCAACAUUCUAAAAAGCCACUCACAACACCUUAGCAACUGCAUAGCAACAUUCUAAAAAGCCAGACACAACAUAACACCUUAGCAACUGCAUAGCAACAUUCUAAAAAGCCACUCACAA